UACAGAGGUCCCAAGCGUUGUUCGGAAUUACUGGGCGUAAAGGGCUCGUAGGCGGCUCGUUAAGUCAGACGUGAAAGCCCUCGGCUUAACCGGGGAACGGCGUCUGAGACUGGCAAGCUUGAAUCCGGGAGAGGGAUGCGGAAUUCCAGGUGUAGCGGUGAAAUGCGUAGAUAUCUGGAGGAACACCGGUGGCGAAGGCGGCAUCCUGGACCGGUAUUGACGCUGAGGAGCGAAAGCCAGGGGAGCAAACGGG
rnacentral:rRNA from 1 species